rnacentral:rRNA from 1 species
AGUGAACGCUGGCGGCAGGCCUCAAACAUGCAAGUCGAGCGCCCAGCAAUGGGAGCGGCGGACGGGUGAGUAUCGCGUGGGAAUGUACCUAGUGGUUCGGAACAACUCAUGGAAACGUGAGCUAAUACCGGAUGAGCCCGCAAGGGGAAAGAUUCAUCGCCAUUAGAUCAGCCCGCGUCUGAUUAGCUAGUUGGUAGGGUAACGGCCUCACCAAGGCGACGAUCAGUAGCUGUUCUGAGAGGAGGAUCAGCCACACUGGGACUGAGACACGGCCCAGACUCCUACGGGAGGCAGCAGUUGGGAAUCUUGGACAAUGGGCGCAAGCCUGAUCCAGCCAUGCCGCGUGAGUGAUGAAGGCCUUAGGGUUGUAAAGCUCUUUUACCCGGGAAGAUAAUGACUGUACCGGGAGAAUAAGCUCCGGCUAACUUCGUGCCAGCAGCCGCGGUAA